rnacentral:rRNA from 1 species
GAUGAACGCUAGCUACAGGCUUAACACAUGCAAGUCGAGGGGUCUUUUGGAGCUUGCUUUAAAAGACGACCGGCGCACGGGUGAGUAACGCGUAUCCAACCUGCCCUUCAUAUUGGGAUAGCCUUCCGAAAGGAAGAUUAAUACUGAAUAACAUGAUAGAGUUGCCUGAUUUUAUCAUGAAAGCUCCGGCGAUGAAGGAUGGGGAUGCGUUCCAUUAGGUAGUAGGCGGGGUAACGGCCCACCUAGCCGACGAUGGAUAGGGGUUCUGAGAGGAAGGUCCCCCACACUGGAACUGAGACACGGUCCAGACUCCUACGGGAGGCAGCAGUGAGGAAUAUUGGUCAAUGGGCGCAAGCCUGAACCAGCCAAGUAGCGUGAAGGAUGACUGCCCUAUGGGUUGUAAACUUCUUUUAUACGGGAACAAACCCCGGUACGUGUACCGGAUUGCGUGUACCGUAUGAAUAAGCAUCGGCUAACUCCGUGCCAGCCGCCGCGGUAACAC